rnacentral:sRNA from 1 species
ACUUGUCAUGGAGCUGGCACUGCGGCGCUCUCCCGUCCCGCGGUGGUUGCUGCUGCUGCCGCUGCUGCUGGGCCUGAACGCAGGAGCUGUCAUUGACUGGCCCACAGAGGAGGGCAAGGAAGUAUGGGAUUAUGUGAUGGUCCGCAAGGAUGCCUACAUGUUCUGGUGGCUCUAUUAUGCCACCAACUCCUGCAAGAACUUCUCAGAACUGCCCCUGGUCAUGUGGCUUCAGGGCGGUCCAGGCGGUUCCAGCACUGGAUUUGGAAACUUUGAGGAAAUUGGGCCCCUUGACAGUGAUCUCAAACCACGGAAAACCACCUGGCUCCAGGCUGCCAGUCUCCUAUUUGUGGAUAAUCCCGUGGGCACUGGGUUCAGUUAUGUGAAUGGUAGUGGUGCCUAUGCCAAGGACCUGGCUAUGGUGGCUUCAGACAUGAUGGUUCUCCUGAAGACCUUCUUCAAUUGCCACAAAGAAUUCCAGACAGUUCCAUUCUACAUUUUCUCAGAGUCCUAUGGAGGAAAAAUGGCAGCUGGCAUUGGUCUAGAGCUUUAUAAGGCCAUUCAGCGAGGGACCAUCAAGUGCAACUUUGCGGGGGUUGCCUUGGGUGAUUCCUGGAUCUCCCCUGUUGAUUCGGUGCUCUCCUGGGGACCUUACCUAUACAGCAUGCAAUACCAGAUUGAUGUUCCCAAGUAAAGUGGGUCUUUUUGCUCUUGGUUUGCAUUCC